rnacentral:rRNA from 1 species
UACGUAGGGGGCAAGCGUUGUCCGGAUUUAUUGGGCGUAAAGAGCGUGUAGGCGGCCCGGUAAGUCCGCUGUAAAAGUCAACGGCUCAACCUUUGAAUGUCAGUGGAUACUGCCGGGCUAGAGUCCGGAAGAGGCGAGUGGAACUCCUGGUGUAGCGGUGGAAUGCGCAGAUAUCAGGAAGAACACCAACGGCGAAGGCAGCUCGCUGGGACGGUACUGACGCUGAGACGCGAAAGCGUGGGGAGCGAACAGG